rnacentral:misc_RNA from 1 species
UCCCGGUUGGCCCGGGCAGUCUCGCAUGAAAAAUACAACAUACGACAAGGGUUGCGCUCGUUGCGGGACUUAACCCAACAUUUCACAACACGAGCUGACGACGGCCAUGCAGCACCUGUCACUGGGCUCCCGAAGGCACUCCCCUGUUUCCAGGGGAUUCCCAGGAUGUCAAGCCUCGGUAAGGUUCUACGCGUAGCGUCAUAUUAAACCACAUCAUCCUCCGCUUGUGCGGGUCCCCGUCAAUUCCUUUGAGUUUUAGCCUUGCGGCCGUACUUCCCAGGCGGCAUACUUAACGCGUUAGCUUCGACGCACAGGGGGUCGAUACCCCAUACGUCUAGUAUGCAUCGUUUACGGCGUGGACUAC